CGCUUCCCCGUUGCCAUGGUGACUCGUCGAAUCGGCGCUCCAUUGAUGCUGUCUUUUCAGAGUUGUGGUGCACGCGCUUAACUCCGGGUGAAACUACUCCGAGUUGAUUAAACCAACUCAGAUCAGCUGUUCUGGAACCAGAAACUCAGAGUUUUCUAUCUCAGAGUAGAUCAACUCAGAGUUCAGGGUUAAACUCAGAGUUUGUUGAAGCUGCUUCGUGAAACGGACCCCAGGUUUAGGUCAGUGCUGGUUAAACCCUGCAGGUUUAUGGGUUCUCUGGAUGUUUUCGGGUUCAUUAAAGUGGCGGUGAGUCCUCUGAAGUGUGGUAAACACAGCUGUGUGUGAGUCUGCAGCGGGAGGUCUGUUUCUUAAGUACAACACAAUCACAGAAACAUUCAUAAAGGCUGAUGAAGCUUCUCCUCCUCUGCUGCUGCUCUGCUGAGUGAAAACGUUAAAUAUUCAUUAUAUACAAAAAAAGCAUAAAUUAACGGCUCGGCAAUCACAGCAGGUAACGUAUACUCCGCUCCCACCGCCUUUAUUCCGUCAUUACAGCCGGCUGCUCGCUGCGGCUGCUUGUUGGUAAAUUGGUAAAUGAAUCUCAGCGGGAGGAUCUCAGCGAGCAGAAGCCUCAGCAGGAAGCUGUAGGGUGACGGAACGUUUAAGGUUCUGCAGCCAAACGUAUACGGAACGUUUAAGCUUUACGCGGCCUCUGGAGGGUGUUGUCGUUGUUUACUAUGUUGUCUUGGCUUACUAUGUUGUUUAUUUACUGUUUAAUGACAAUGUUUGUGUCUGAUAUCAGGGGUCCGUUUCACGAAGCAGCUUCAACAAACUCUGAGUUUAACCCUGAACUCUGAGUUGAUCUACUCUGAGAUAGAAAACUCUGAGUUUCUGGUUCCAGAACAGCUGAUCUGAGUUGGUUUAAUCAACUCGGAUUAGUUUCACCCGGAGUUAAGCGCGUGCACCACAACUCUGAAAAGCCAGUAUCAAUGGAGCGCCGAUUCGACGAGUCACCAUGGCAACGGGGAAGCGGAGGACUACACCGUUUGAAUUGGAAAUCUUAAUGCGCUUAUAUAGCGAGUUUGAACACAUUUUUAGAAAGAAGUGCAACACCUGCAGCUGUAAAAGAGAGGGAGACGGUGUGGGAGAACAUUGCUGCCUGGGUCAAUGUAUUCUGAUGGUGUUAUCUGCCUGGUGGAGCCCCUUCACACCACAACAGAGCUUGUAACUGAUGAAGAGGAUGAAACUGUGUCUGCUGCCUUUACAGAGGGGGAUCCAGAAAGGCAUACAGAGAGCAUGGCUGGACAGCAGCAGGAUGCUUCCUCAACUUCCACUGCACAGAUUGACACAGUAAGAUGGAUGUUCAGUAAACACCAGAGGUUCAUUCUGUGGAAUUCAUGUGCAACUGUAUAAUUUAAUGUCCUCUGUGUAUUCCCAGUUAUCAGUAAAACAGAUUUACAAACUGCACUUGCUGAGAAAAAUCCAGAAAACAGAUAAAGAAAUACAGUAUUUGGACCGCCAGAUUAGGAGGGCAGAUCUGGAAACUGAAAUACUGGAGCACAAGUUAGAGGUGGGUGCAGGUCACAGGUGAACUAUGUUAACUACUGGAACAUGA